GGCUGAGUCGAAUGUCGUGGCAACAAUUCUUAGAGCUGGCAGUCCCAAAACAGUGUGGAGAGAGCGGCGAGACAGACAGAAAUAUCUAGAUGCCAGCCGCAGGUAUGAGCAGCAGGGAAUACGAGGCAGAAAAUAUCCUGCGUCCAUUCGCAGCGCUGACGCCAAAAGCCGCCAGCCUCUCCCUGGAGCGCCGCAGUGAGCGUUU
rnacentral:lncRNA from 1 species